GACGAACGCUGGCGGCGUGCUUAACACAUGCAAGUCGAACGGAUCGGUCCUGCCUUUGUGGGGCGCUCGAGUGGCGAACGGGUGAGUAACCCGUGAGUUACCUGCUCUUGAACCUGGGCAAACUUCAGGAAACUGGGGCUAAUACAGGAUAUGAUACCCCGCAGCAUGUUGGGGCUCGGAACGUUUCGGUGGAUGGGGAUGGACUCGCGGCUUAUCAGCUUGUCGGUGGGGUAGUGACCUACUAAGUCAUUGACGGGUAGCCGGCCUGGGAGGGUGACCGGCCACAUUAGGACUACGGUACGGCGCAGACUCCUACGGUAGGCAACGGUGGAAAGUAUUGCACAAUAGGCGGAAGCCAGUUGAAACGGCGCCGCGUGCGUAAUGACGGCCUUCGAGUUAUGAACCACUUUCGCCUGUAACGAAGCGUGAGUGACGGUAAUUGGUAAGAAAGCACCGGCUAACUACGUG
rnacentral:rRNA from 1 species